CGGAGGAGAGCAUCUCUCUCCCGUGAAAGAUGGCCUCUUCUAUGCUAUCACCUGUUAUGGGUCUGCGUCUGAUUAGCUGGUAGGUGAGGUAACGGCUCACCUAGGCGACGAUCAGUAGCCGGUCUGAGAGGAUGAACGGCCACAUUGGGACUGAGACACGGCCCAGACUCCUACGGGAGGCAGCAGUGGGGAAUCUUCCGCAAUGGGCGCAAGCCUGACGGAGCAACGCCGCGUGAGUGAAGAAGGUCUUCGGAUCGUAAAGCUCUGUUGACGGGGACGAACGUGCGUGAUGCGAACAGUGUCAUGCAAUGACGGUACCUGUCGAGGA
rnacentral:rRNA from 1 species